rnacentral:rRNA from 1 species
UACGGGGGGGGUAAGCGUUGUUCGGAAUUACUGGGCGUAAAGGGCUCGUAGGCGGCCAACUAAGUCAGACGUGAAAUCCCUCAGCUUAACUGGGGAACUGCGUCUGAUACUGGAUGGCUUGGAUUCGGGAGAGGAAUGCGGAAUUCCAGGUGUAGCGGUGAAAUGCGUAGAUAUCAGGAGGAACACCUGCGGUGUAGACGGCUUACUGGACCAUAACUGACGCUGAGGCACGAAAGCGUGGGUAGCAAACAGG